rnacentral:rRNA from 1 species
UCCGUAGGUGAACCUGCGGAUGGAUCAUUAACAAAUGUUUCCAUCUUCUACCUCUUGUGAACUGUAUUGAGAAAGACUGUCAGUUGUUUCGGCAGCUGGCGGUCUACCAUCAAACGUUGUUUUUAUUGUGAACUGAAGUAUGUGAAUUAAAAAAUACAUACAACUUUUAGCAAUGGAUCUCUUGGCUCUUGCAACGAUGAAGAACGCAGCAAACUGCGAAAAGUAGUGUGAAUUGCAGAUACCGUGAAUCAUCGAAUUUUUGAACGCACAUUGCACUGUCUGGAAUUCCGGGCAGUAUGUCUGUUUGAGCAUCAGUAAACCCAUCUCAACACCCUUGUGGUGUCGGGGAGUUGGGCUGAUAUCGGCGUAUGCCGGUGCAGCCUGAAAUGCAGUUACCGCGAGCUAGCUUAGCGUACAGAGUCAUGCCUUUGGCAGUUUCUGUUCAGCGGCUGGCGUAUUCGCCGGUAAGCGUUUGUCGGUUCGCCGCGCAGACAACUGCGUACCUCUGGUACCACUCCAUUGAUCUCAAAUCAGGCAAGGCUACCCGCUGAACUUAAGCAUAUUAAUAAGCGGAGGAAAAGAAACUAACCAGGAUUCCCUCAGUAACGGCGAGUGAAGCGGGAAUAGCUCAGACUGAAAAUCUUCGGAAUUGUAGUCUGGAGAAGCGAAGUCAGCAAAAUCUACCGGCAAAGUCUUCUGGAACGGAGCACCAAGGAGGGUGAUAGUCCCGUCUAUGCUAGGUGGGUGGAGCGUACGACUCGCUUUCUACGAGUCGAGUUGUUUGGGAUUGCAGCUCUAAGUGGGUGGUAAAUUCCAUCUAAAGCUAAAUAUUGGUGGGAGACCGAUAGCGAACAAGUACCGUGAGGGAAAGAUGAAAAGAACUUUGAAAAGAGAGUUAAACAGUACCUGAAAUUGCUAGAAGGGAAACGCUUAAAGU